rnacentral:misc_RNA from 1 species
AGCAGGGGAGGGCCAGGAGCUCCUCGCGGGAAAGCCCGGCUACGGUGUCGUCGCCGUUAGGAAGGUACAUAAGAUUGAGAUUGCGGCGACGCUGGCGGAAGGCGCGGCCGGCGAUGCAGAGGUGGAUUAGGACGAGCGCGGCGACGCUGGCGAAGAAAAAGAAGAUCGAGAGGACGACGACCAUGACGAUCGCCUGGAUUAGGUAGUAGAGGAAGCGGAAUCCGCCGGUCGGUUUCACCAUCGGCGGCGCUGCCGCCGCAAGCGGCGGUGAUUGGAAUCGCGGCAUUGAUUCGUUGGUCAUUUGGGGGAGG